rnacentral:rRNA from 1 species
AGGCCGAAAGGCGUAGGCGAUGGACAACAGGUUGAUAUUCCUGUACCACCUCUUUAUCGUUUGAGCAAUGGGGGGACGCAGGAGGAUAGGGUAAGCGCGCUGUUGGAUAUGCGCGUCUAAGCAGUUAGGCUGAGAAGUAGGCAAAUCCGCUUCUCACUAAGGCUGAGCUGUGAUAGCGAGGGAAAUUUAGUACCGAAGUUCCUGAUUCCACACUGCCAAGAAAAGCCUCUAGCGAGAUAAAUGGUGCCCGUACCGCAAACCGACACAGGUAGGCGAGGAGAGAAUCCUAAGGUGAGCGAGAGAACUCUCGUUAAGGAACUCGGCAAAAUGACCCCGUAACUUCGGGAGAAGGGGUGCUUUUUGAGGUGAAUAGCCUCGAAGAGCCGCAGUGAAUAGGCCCAGGCGACUGUUUAGCAAAAACACAGGUCUCUGCGAAGCCGCAAGGCGAAGUAUAGGGGCUGACGCCUGCCCGGUGCUGGAAGGUUAAGAGGAGGGGUUAGCUCACGCGAAGCUCUGAAUCGAAGCCCCAGUAAACGGCGGCCGUAACUAUAACGGUCCUAAGGUAGCGAAAUUCCUUGUCGGGUAAGUUCCGACCCGCACGAAAGGCGUAACGAUCUGGGCACUGUCUCAACGAGAGACUCGGUGAAAUUAUAGUACCUGUGAAGAUGCAGGUUACCCGCGACAGGACGGAAAGACCCCGUGGAGCUUUACUGUAGCCUGAUAUUGAAUUUUGGUACAGCUUGUACAGGAUAGGUAGGAGCCUGAGAAGCCGGAGCGCUAGCUUCGGUGGAGGCGUCGGUGGGAUACUACCCUGGCUGUAUUGAAAUUCUAACCCGCACCCCUGAUCGGGGUGGGAGACAGUGUCAGGUGGGCAGUUUGACUGGGGCGGUCGCCUCCUAAAGAGUAACGGAGGCGCCCAAAGGUUCCCUCAGAAUGGUUGGAAAUCAUUCGCAGAGUGUAAAGGCACAAGGGAGCUUGACUGCGAGACCUACAAGUCGAGCAGGGACGAAAGUCGGGCUUAGUGAUCCGGUGGUUCCGCAUGGAAGGGCCAUCGCUCAACGGAUAAAAGCUACCCCGGGGAUAACAGGCUUAUCUCCCCCAAGAGUCCACAUCGACGGGGAGGUUUGGCACCUCGAUGUCGGCUCAUCGCAUCCUGGGGCUGUAGUCGGUCCCAAGGGUUGGGCUGUUCGCCCAUUAAAGCGGUACGCGAGCUGGGUUCAGAACGUCGUGAGACAGUUCGGUCCCUAUCCGUCGUGGGCGCAGGAAAUUUGAGAGGAGCUGUCCUUAGUACGAGAGGACCGGGAUGGACGCACCGCUGGUGUACCAGUUGUUCUGCCAAGGGCAUCGCUGGGUAGCUAUGUGCGGACGGGAUAAGUGCUGAAAGCAUCUAAGCAUGAAGCCCCCCUCAAGAUGAGAUUUCCCAUAGCGCAAGCUAGU